CCUACGGGGCGCUGCAGUGAGGAAUAUUGGUCAAUGGGCGCAAGCCUGAACCAGCCAAGUCGCGUGAGGGAUGACGGUCCUAUGGAUUGUAAACCUCUUUUGUCGGGGAGCAAGGCCCGCCACGGGUGGCGGGAAGGAGAGUACCCGAAGAAAAAGCAUCGGCUAACUCCGUGCCAGCAGCCGCGGUAAUAACGAGGAUGCGAGCGUUAUACGGAAUUAUUGGGUUUACAGGGAGCGUAGGCGGAAGGUUAAGUCAGUGGUCAAUUGUCGGUGCUCAACACCGGCAUGCAGUUGACACUGGUCUGCUUGAGUGAGCGAGAAGUAUGCGGAAUGCGUGGGGUGGCGGUGAAAUGCAUAGA
rnacentral:rRNA from 1 species